rnacentral:rRNA from 1 species
CCUACGGGAGGCAGCAGUGGGGAAUAUUGCACAAUGGGCGCAAGCCUGAUGCAGCGACGCCGCGUGAGGGAUGACGGCCUUUGGGUUGUAAACCUCUUUCAGCAGGGAAGAAGCGCAAGUGACGGUACCUGCAGAAGAAGCACCGGCUAACUACGUGCCAGCAGCCGCGGUAAUACGUAGGGUGCGAGCGUUGUCCGGAAUUAUUGGGCGUAAAGAGCUUGUAGGCGGUUUGUCGCGUCUGCCGUGAAAAUCCGGGGCUCAACCCCGGACUUGCGGUGGGUACGGGCAGACUAGAGUGUGGUAGGGGAGACUGGAAUUCCUGGUGUAGCGGUGAAAUGCGCAGAUAUCAGGAGGAACACCGAUGGCGAAGGCAGGUCUCUGGGCCAUUACUGACGCUGAGAAGCGAAAGCAUGGGGAGCGAACAGGAUUAGAUACCCUGGUAGUCCAUGCCGUAAACGUUGGGAACUAGGUGUGGGCCUCAUUCCACGAGGUCCGUGCCGCAGCUAACGCAUUAAGUUCCCCGCCUGGGGAGUACGGCCGCAAGGCUAAAACUACGAAAGUAGUGACGCGNGAGAGCGACGACGACGACGACGAGGAGAG